rnacentral:rRNA from 1 species
AUUGAACGCUGGCGGCAUGCCUUACACAUGCAAAUCGAACGGUAACGGGCCUUCGGGUGCCGACGAGUGGCGAACGGGUGAGUAAUACAUCGGAGCGUGCCCGAUCGUGGGGGAUAACGAGGCGAAAGCUUUGCUAAUACCGCAUACGAUCUACGGAUGAAAGCAGGGGACCGCAAGGCCUUGCGCGGACGGAGCGGCCGAUGGCAGAUUAGGUAGUUGGUGGGAUAAAAGCUUACCAAGCCGACGAUCUGUAGCUGGUCUGAGAGGAUGAUCAGCCACACUGGGACUGAGACACGGCCCAGACUCCUACGGGAGGCAGCAGUGGGGAAUUUUGGACAAUGGGCGCAAGCCUGAUCCAGCCAUGCCGCGUGCAGGAUGAAGGCCUUCGGGUUGUAAACUGAUUUUGUACGGAACGAAAAGCCUUCUUUUAAUACAGGAGGGUCAUGACGGUACCGUAAGAAUAAGCACCGGCUAACUACGUG